UCCAUAGGACAAUAGUAGCUGGUAGAAGGAGAAUUUAUAGUAGUUGCUUGGAGUAGGGAUUUGUCUGAAUGAAAGAGGGUGCAAAUGUCUAGUGAGCCGGGUCGGAGGAGUGACAUAGGGAGGCAUUGGUACAGCAACCAGUCCGUGGACAAUUUUAUAGAACAUCAGUAGCCGGGAGUCGUACCUUCUGUUCUCAAGUGAACGCCACCCUAAUUUGUCUAGCAUGUGUGUGACACUGUUGUGAUAUGAGUAAUCAUUUGUAACCCAUCGAGCGGCCCUGCGUUGGACCAUCUCGAUCUUGUUUAUGUUGUGUUGUGUGUGUGGGCUCCACACUGAGCUACUAUACUCAAGUUGUGGGCGGACCAGGGUUUUGAAGGCAAAUUCUCUAAUGCGUGGGUGUUUUAUGGGAAUGUUUCGUUUGAUGAAGUUUAGUGUUUGACUGGCUGUUGCAGUAACCUGGUUUAUGUGUUUAUUCCAGCUGAGGUCAGAUGUGAUGCUAACACCCAAGUAUUUAGCAUCACUAACUGUUUCUAGAAUAUGACCGUGGAGUGUAUGUUAGAUCAACAAUCAACGAUGUCAAAGGUGUGGGUUUAGAAUUUCAAAAAAAGAUGCUAAUAUGGAACUGCCAAACAAUCUGAUCAGCACCAAACCUGCUGCAGCUGCAUCGGAAAACAAUACCUUCCUGAUAUGAUGUCAAUCACUUGCAGAUGACCAAGACCAUGUUAAGUUACGCCAGAAGGAAGUGAUAGCAUAAAUGCUGCCAGCGAAGUUCGCUUGGACAAGAUUACUUCCAUACCCGGACAGACCGUUCAUACGUACAUUGUCGGAAAGAUUAUUGUAACCCAAUUCGAAUCAAGCUAUCCUUAAAUAAAAAGCCAACAAAGACUGUAUUAUCUCCACCAUUACGAUCUAACACUGAACGAUUUAACUUCAGUACAAAUUGUCUAUUUUGUGCUCAACGUGCCAAAUUUGUUGGAAGAAAACGAGGCUAUAAUGUAUACCCUGUUAGAACAGUUGAAUUUAAAAAGAACAUAGAACAAAUAUGUAUCGAUAGGGAUGACAAACAGGGUUCAGAUAUUAAGAGCAGAUUGGAAACAAUACAUGACUUAGCGGCUGCUGUUGCUAUAUACCAUUAGUCAUGCAGCGUAAAUUUUAGGACAGGUAAAAAUAUACCACAGUCAGGCAAUGAAAAAGGAAAGAAGUGUGGAAGACCAGUGAACAUGGCACAGGAAUUUGCUUUCCAGGAAAUAGCAAAGUUCCUGAUUGAAAAUGAUGACGAACAAAUAACACUAAAAGACCUUGUUGACAAAAUGGUAGAACUAUGUGGAGAACUCUCCUAUACAUUAACUCAUAUGAAGAAGAGAUUACUAGAGCAUUUUGGGUCCUCUAUUGUCAUCACAGAAUUAAAUGGAAAGCAGAAUGUAAUCACAUUUAGAAACACUGCAUCAUCAAUUCUUCAUUCAUUUUACCAAAAGUCUAGUAGCGAUUCUGAUGCUUAUAAAAUUGAAAUAAUAAAAACAGCAGCACAACUAUUGCUAACUGAUAUAAAGGAUAUUAAAGCAAUAACAAUGAUUUAAUAGUAACAUGUAUUUAAUGGGUGGGUGGGGUAAGUUUACCCCUAUAAAUGCACUAUUUACAUGAGUAAAUAUGUUAAGAAACUUCAUGAUACACUUAGGUAAUAGAAAAAUAAUACUGUUUUCAUAACUGAUGUAUUACUGAAUACUGUUUUUGUCGGGUGGUUUGCUCGAAAUGUGUUGUUUGAAUAGAAAAUGGAAAAUAUACUUUAUUUAAAAAAACGUCCGCGAGGGGCAUAAAUAAAAUGAAGUUUUAACAGGUUUGCCCUGGAAAUAUUUCGCUAGACUUUUUUUCUGUCAUCUGUUAUACGUCAUAGAUGAUUUUACACGUGAAACCGUUUCUGUUGCAAUUAGUUGAUGGUUAGGUGCUUUUUUUUCAUAGGAUGACUGGAC